rnacentral:rRNA from 1 species
CCUACGGGCGGCAGCAGUCGAGAAUCAUUCACAAUGGGGGAAACCCUGAUGGUGCGACGCCGCGUGGGGGAAUGAAGGUCUUCGGAUUGUAAACCCCUGUCAUGUGGGAGCAAAUUAAAACGAUCGUACCACAAGAGGAAGAGACGGCUAACUCUGUGCCAGCAGCCGCGGUAAUACAGAGGUCUCAAGCGUUGUUCGGAAUCACUGGGCGUAAAGCGUGCGUAGGCUGUUUCGUAAGUCGUGUGUGAAAGGCGCGGGCUCAACCCGCGGACGGCACAUGAUACUGCGAGACUAGAGUAAGGGAGGGGGAACCGGAAUUCUCGGUGUAGCAGUGAAAUGCGUAGAUAUCGAGAGGAACACUCGUGGCGAAGGCGGGUUCCUGGACAUUAACUGACGCUGAGGCACGAAGGCCAGGGGAGCGAAAGGGAUUAGAUACCCCGGUAGUC